rnacentral:rRNA from 1 species
GCCUGGCCCUAAAUCUUGAUGCUCGAUCUAACCGGAGCAUCCGCCCGAGAACUACGAGCACAAACGCUUAAAACUCUAAGGACUUGGCGGUGUUCCAAAUCCACCUAGAGGAGCCUGUUCUGUAAUCGAUGAUCCACGAUGCACCUGACCAUUCCUUGCCCAGAACAGCCUAUAUACCGCCGUCUCCAGCCCACCCCGCAUGAAGGUUCAACAGUGGACGCAAUAGCCAAACCGCGCUAACAAGACAGGUCAAGGUAUAGCCUAUGGAAUGGAAGCAAUGGGCUACAUUUUCUAGAUUAGAACACAACGGCAAAGGCGCAUGAAACUGCACCUAGAAGGAGGAUUUAGCAGUAAAGAGAGAUUAGAGAGCUCUCUUUAAGCCGGCUCUGGAGCACGU